ACCCUUUGUGACAUACCUAUAACUGUUGCUUCGGCGGGUAGGGUCUCCGUGACCCUCCCGGCCUCCCGCCCCCCCGGGCGGGUCGGCGCCCGCCGGAGGAUAACCAAACUCUGAUUUAACGACGUUUCUUCUGAGUGGUACAAGCAAAUAAUCAAAACUUUUAACAACGGAUCUCUUGGUUCUGGCAUCGAUGAAGAACGCAGCGAAAUGCGAUAAGUAAUGUGAAUUGCAGAAUUCAGUGAAUCAUCGAAUCUUUGAACGCACAUUGCGCCCGCCAGCAUUCUGGCGGGCAUGCCUGUUCGAGCGUCAUUUCAACCCUCAAGCUCUGCUUGGUGUUGGGGCCCUACAGCCGAUGUAGGCCCUCAAAGGUAGUGGCGGACCCUCCCGGAGCCUCCUUUGCGUAGUAACUUUACGUCUCGCACUGGGAUCCGGAGGGACUCUUGCCGUAAAACCCCCCAAUUUUCCAAAGGUUGACCUCGGAUCAGGUAGGAAUACCCGCUGAACUUAAG
rnacentral:rRNA from 1 species